rnacentral:misc_RNA from 1 species
CCGAGUUUACAACUCCCAAACCCAAUGUGAACGUUACCAAACUGUUGCCAGUCGGCGGGAUUUCUGCCCCGGGCGCGUCGCAGCCCCGGACCAAGGCGCCCGCCGGAGGACCAAUUUACAAACUCUUUGUAUGUCCCUCUGCGGAUUUUUAUUAUACAUUCUGAGCUUUCUCGGCGCUCCUAGCGAGCGUUUCGAAAAUGAAUCA